ACCUGCUGAGAAAAGAAAGACCCAGGCGAUGGCAAAGACCUCCUUCUGCUUCAUCUGCCCAACUUUUUGGUAUUGUUUGAAUGAAGACUUCUCAGGCAGCUGUCAUUUGUUUUGCAGCCACGUAAUUCUUAAAAUGUGCUAGAAAUAUUCAAUGAAAACCAGCAGUGAAACAAACAAACAAGACUACAGAACACACUCGAAAAAGUGACUUAUUAUUUUUAACUGCUUUUACAAAAGGACUGAGCUUUUAAUAAUAGUCUGCUCUUGUAAAGCAUCUCUCAGAUGCGGACUUCAAAAUGUGGUAGACAAAUUGUCUCAACAUGUCUGUGGGCUAGGUUGUCUUUCACUGGAUCGCUUCUUUCACCCUGUGGACUGUGAGGCUGCAGGGAUGCUUGGGGCAACACUAGCAAAAGAAAACAGCUCUGGAAAGGCAAUAUCAAACCCAUCCUUUAUGAAGUUAAACUCCUGGCAACAAAAUCAGAGGGGAUAGCAGUCGAAUGGGAAGCACCAACUGGAGGAUCCUGGAGCAGACUUCACUCUUGGUUUUCACUUUCUGACUCUGAAGAGCAAAUGGAACUGUGACCGGUAAAACAAAGCUCCUAGAAAGAAGUCCAGGCUCCAGAAGGCUGAUACCACCCAGGCACCAGCUGUGAGGAGGCAAUAACCUCUGCUUUUGAAAAGAAACAGGCAGUGCCAAGUUGCUAUUGCUGCACUUGAGGGUUAUGUGUCUGCUGAAUUCAGCUGGUUUUAAGGGCCGUGCACAUCCAGGGUCUAGGAUACUCAUGCUAGUCCCUAGUAUGAGUAUCCUCCUUCUGACCACCAUCACAGUGUGCAGCAUGAACCAAAAGGAGUGUUAUUUUGGUAGGAGUGAAUCCUUUGUCAAGUAACACCAAGGAGGAGCCAAAACUCAUUUGGACACUGGGUAUGUCUUCCCUGGAGGCAAGAACUCACAGCAUUUCAAGAGAAUC